GACCGCUCCGGUGGCCUAGUGGUUAGAGCGUCUGCCUCGAAUACGGGAAGUCGCGGGUUCGAACCCCGACCGAGUCA